rnacentral:rRNA from 1 species
AGCUCCAAUAGGAUAUAUCAAAGUUGUUGCAGUUGAAAAGCUCGUAGUCGUAUUUCUGGUGGGUUGAUGUCUUGCCGGUGUGGGACGAAAGUUCUUGCUGGUUUGGACCGCCUGCCAUUUUGUGGGCUCAAGUGGUCUUGUCGGGGUUUACUCUUCGAUUUGAUCGCUCCACUCCGUCACUGAGAGCAAAUUGGAGUGCUCAAAGCAGGCUUUACAGCUUUGAACAUUUUAGCUUGGAAUGACAAAGAAUGACUUUUUGUUCACUUUGUUGGUUAUGAAUGGGAAGUAAUGAUAAAUAGGAACAGUUGCGGGGGUACUCGUAUUGGGAAGUCAGAGGUGAAAUUCUUAGAUUUUUCCACGACGAACGACUGCGAAAGCAUUUACCAAGGAUGUUUUCA